CAACUUACCUGGCAGGGGAAAACCAUGACCACUAAGGUGGAUUUCCUAAAGUGCACCUGGGGACAGCUGCUUUUCUGGCAUGGGGCAGUACCCACUGAGGUUUUGGCUUUAUGCCCACUUUGUGGAAAUGGGAGGCUUCUCCAUAGUUUGCUCCUA